CAGGUUUUGAAAUCUGACGGGACAACAGGCAUCCAAACCAAGCAGUUUACGGGGAAAUCACUUCUAGAAAGGACAUUUAAAGAACAAGAAACAGAGAGCUCUGGGAGACAUUUGCCUUGGAGAAACGCACCGGGGAGCUGGCAAGAGAUGACGAAACACAAAACUGAAAAGAGUUUGAAGGUACAGGCUCCACUUCCCUGGUGUGGAUCUCAGGUGUGUGUGCAGCUGAACAUGAAACCUGAAAAUGCUUCAGAGCUGAGCGCCCAGCCCAGCAGUGGGAACAGUGGGAACAGAUACCUGCACCCACCUGGACCUCUCUCCGUUUCCCAAGGAUGCUGAGCUGCAGGCACAGGACUGAUCAGUGAAACUGGGAAUGAGUUCUUCAUCCUCAGAGGCAAGAUGGAAAAAUUAUCUCUUCUCUUGAAGUACUCCAGUGUCUCCACCCUCAAGAACAAUAAGGAAUUGUCUCAGAACAGCUCAAAUGGAAUUUAAGAUCUAGUAUCCCUCCCUUCCUUAGAGCCAAGUAUAUUCCUCACUAUUUCUCCCUAUUUAUAUGCUGUAAGAACAUUUCUUUUUUCACUCAACCCCUGAUUUGUCCUGCAAAUGGCUAAUAGAGAAUAUCUGAUGGUGUGCAAUAGAUGUUUCAGUGCUGUGAAUUUGGGAAGGGUGUUCUGUGUAUGUGUACACAGAGGUUAAAGUAAUUUUUAUCCCUUACCUAUGGAGAAUUAAGUAAAUUCCUUCCUCUCUGUAUCUAGUCAUCUACUGGACUGAAGUUCUGGCUAUUCAAUUUUGCUGUUAGAUCAGAGGUUUUCAAACCUUUUCUUGAUUUUUCAGACUCUAUGAUGUUUCCUGGGGAGGUGCCCUCGUCCCACGACAUUCAGGCUACCAACAACAGGCUUUGAGUUCUCAGUGUCUGUUAAACUCUGCAGGCUGCAAACUGAGGCUUAACGUUUUGGAUUGUUUGUGUUAAUAUUUUCUGUGCUGCUGAGUGUCAUGGAUCCCCUGGACCCAGCCACAAAAUGAGGAAUAAAUCAUAGUUCAUCACAAGCUGCAUUUUCUGCAGCACUUUGGGCUGCUGGGAGCAAACCCCCUGGCUGGAAGGAGCAGUGUCUGCUCUGUGUCCACUUCUCAGUGGUUUUUUUUUGGCUGCUAUGCUUGCAGAAGUGUUUCUGUGGCUGACUGGGACACUAAUCCGGUUUGAGAAGAACACUCUCUUCCCAAUCCCUUUUUUCCCCUUUUUUUUUCUUAUCCCCUCAGGUUAGCUUUAGCCUGGGCCUGCCUAGCCCCUUCCUGAGAGCUUGUUAGCGACUGAUUAGCCCAAGUUUUGAUAAAAGCUUCAUUGUUUGUAACCCUGUAAACUACCCGGAGCUGUGCUCCUAAUAAAAGUGGGAUUAAAUAGACACCUUGGGAGUGAGACAGUUGCAGUGGGAAUUUCAAAGUUUUGAGGGACUGAGGGAUGUGGCCAGGCUUCAGUAACUCUGUGUAUCAGAAGUGGUUUUACCAAAGCUGGAAAGAAGCCUGACUUUUGUGUUUUGGGGGGAAAAGGAACCUGGUGGGAGACAGAAGGAAGUCACCUGUUUGUGGCUGGAUUAAGUACACGCUCCAGGGGUUUGGAAACACAUUUGCAGAAGUUCUCAGCACCCUGCAUUCCUCCAGCCUCUCCUCAGGCUUAGGAUUCAUAAAAAGUAUUUUAAAAUCCUUGCUCUGAUCACAUGAAUUUAAUCCUUCCUCGUUUUAUUUUUACAGCAGUAAAAAUGUCCACUUGGCAAUGAUGUGUGCCUGACUUGGUCCUGUUGAGUUGUCUCUUUUUGGGAGAAAUGUUAAAGCAAGGGGCUUCUUCCCUCCUGCCUAAAGCAAGAAAUUGAUCUGGGCUGAAAUAAAGCACCUCUGUGCUUUUAAAA